ACCCCAACAGCUCAGCUGGUUAGAACGUGGUGCUAAUCAUGCCCAGGUUGCAGGUUCAAUCCCUGUAUGGGACA